AUACGGGGGGGGCAAGCGUUGUUCGGAAUUACUGGGCGUAAAGGGCGCGUAGGCGGACGGGAAAGUCUCUCGUGAAAUCCCACGGCUCAACCGUGGAAUUGCGGGAGAUACUACUUGUCUUGAGUUCGGGAGAGGAGUGUGGAAUUCCCAGUGUAGCGGUGAAAUGCGUAGAUAUUGGGAGGAACACCGGUGGCGAAGGCGGCACUCUGGACCGAUACUGGCGCUGAGGCGCGAAAGCUAGGGGAGCAAACGGGAUUAGAUACCCCAGUAGUCC
rnacentral:rRNA from 1 species